rnacentral:tRNA from 1 species
GGCUCGAUGGUGAAAUGGAAAUCAUGCCGGGUUUCUACCCCGGUGUUCCAGGUUCAAAUCCUGGUCGAGCUG